rnacentral:misc_RNA from 1 species
AAUGAUAAGGAUAAUGAUGUGGAUGAGGACGGCACAGAGCCACUUUGUGCUGCCCAGGAUGCACUGCUUAAGGUUCAUGCUGUAAUUGCUGAUUCUAUGACUGGCAAUCGUGAUUCUGAUAGGAAAGAUAAGCAGGAGGCCCUUCUUCUUGCCCCCUCAAGCCAAGCUGCCAAUAUCAUUGGAAAAGCUGGUGCCACUAUCAAGAGGCUGAGAUCGAAGACAAAUGCCAAUA